CGGGGUGUCGGUAGUUGGUUAGCCGGGAGGUCUCAUAAGCCUCUGCGAAAGCCUCGUGGGUUCGAGUCCCACCUCCGCAACAA
rnacentral:tRNA from 1 species